GGAUCCAGACUUUGAUUAUGGCUCAGGAUGAACGCUGGCGGCGUGCUUAACACAUGCAAGUCGAACGAAGCAUUUAAGACAGAUUUUUUCGGAAUGAAGUUUUCUAUGACUGAGUGGCGGACGGGUGAGUAACGCGUGGGUAACCUGCCUCACACAGGGGGAUAGCAGUUGGAAACGACUGGUAAUACCGCAUAAGCGCACAGCUUCGCAUGAAGCGGUGUGAAAAACUCCGGUGGUGUGAGAUGGACCCGCGUCUGAUUAGGUAGUUGGUGAGGUAACGGCCCACCAAGCCGACGAUCAGUAGCCGACCUGAGAGGGUGACCGGCCACAUUGGGACUGAGACACGGCCCAGACUCCUACGGGAGGCAGCAGUGGGGAGUAUUGCACAAUGGAGGAAACUCUGAUGCAGCGACGCCGCGUGAGUGAAGAAGCAUUUCGGUAUGUAAAGCUCUAUCAGCAGGGAAGACAGUGACGGUACCUGACUAAGAAGCUCCGGCUAAAUACGUGCCAGCAGCCGCGGUAAUACGUAUGGAGCAAGCGUUAUCCGGAUUUACUGGGUGUAAAGGGAGUGUAGGUGGUAUCACAAGUCAGAAGUGAAAGCCCGGGGCUCAACCCCGGGACUGCUUUUGAAACUGUGGAACUGGAGUGCAGGAGAGGUAAGUGGAAUUCCUAGUGUAACGGUGAAAUGCGUAGAUAUUAGGAGGAACACCAGUGGCGAAGGCGGCUUACUGGACUGUAACUGACACUGA
rnacentral:rRNA from 1 species